CAAAAGUGAGACAGGGGAUGACACAGGCGGCGUCAGCCCCAUGGAAGACCACCGAAGGAAGCGCUCAGGAAGGACGAAGAAGAGAUCAAGCCAAGGGGGGGAGAAAAAUGAUAGCUCUGUUUGGGUCUCCGAGUUUGGAGAGAAGAUGUUGCUUUUCCAUCCUGCAUUCAAUGUUGACUAUAGGGAAAUGUCAGAGGAGAAGGUCAGAACAACCUCACGCUGAGACCUUUUCGAGAAUCUAUCCUGGUUCUUACUUUCAUCCCAAAGGUGUCAGAGACGGACGGAGAUGGCAGCGACCUCUCGGAGGACUCAUUUAAAAUAGAAGAAAGAAAGCAUAAAGGAAAAAAGAGUCCCGGAGCCUCCAAAAGGUCUGAUACUCGAAAGAGACGCGAAAGCAAAUGUCAACCAGAGGAGGAUGAGGAGGAAUCGGUCGGUGAGAGACUGGAGGCCCAGAGGAGGGAGGAGGUGGAGAGUCGCAAAGCAAAGGCCAAGAAGAAGAGCGAUGAAGAGAAGAGGAGGCAGAAAGAAUACCAGAACUCUGCAAAAGAGGAGCUGAAGAGCGAGCUGAUGAAACCCAGCUCAGACACAACGUUUCUGGAUCGGACCGAGUGUCAGUCGGAGGUGGACAGUCUGAAGGCCCAGAUGAGGGAGGAGGUGGAGCAGCUCCAGCCUGAGUUCCACCUGGAGCUCGAAGCAGAGAGGAGGAAGGCGAUGGAGGUGCAGGAAGAAAGCGAGCAGCUGUGGAGCCUUUACCGGGAGGAGAUACGCCGUUCCGUGAAGCUGGAUUACGAGGAGAGGCUGGAGAAACUGAGGGAAGAACUCCGGACGGAACAGAACAACUUCCGGCAAAAAUUCAAGAAUGAGGUCAGAACCUCUGGUCGCAGGGACGGAAACUAGUCCCGCCAAAGCAUCUGAGCAAAGACCACGACUGAUUCCCGUCGUUCUCGCUGUGCUUCAGGUGUCUGCUCAGAGGAAGAACUUGUUGUCCGCUGCGCAGGAGGAGAAAGAGCGCAUGCGGGCCUCGCACGCUCAACACCUGGAGAAGCUUCGCUCGGAGUUCGAGAAGCAGAAACAGCAAAUACAACAGAUGCAAGAGGCGAGAGUCCAACGCACGCCAACAAUCAUUCAGCUGUGCUUUGAAUGUCGCCUGAACGAGAAGUUUGUCUGUCUCUUCCUCAGACGUCAGAGUCGCAGCGACGUGUAGAGCAGCUGGAACAGAGAGCCAAAGAGCGGAAGAACAUGGAAGACGGCGCGCCGCAGACGCCGGACAAACUGGACCAAACCGCAAAGGUGAGACGAGCGUGGACCUCGAAAACAACAGCCUUCCUCUGCAAUUUCCGGCCUCAGG
rnacentral:lncRNA from 1 species